AUUUCAGUUUGUUGAACUCGGAGUUUCGAUUGAAACCAGCAGAGGCCGCAAGUUGUCUUUCAGUGCGUCUGACUGGGGAAUCUCUUUAAAUCCUAAAUUUAUACAAAAAGCUGAGCCUGGAUUUCAGCGCCCCUGGUGGCUGCUCCCGGGCUGCGAGUGGGAAAUCACUGCAGCUUCCUUCUGCCAGAACUCUGCGCCAGGACAACUCCGUUGGAGAAGAUCGUGGCAAUGUUAGAAGAGGAUUUAAAGGAGCCUUUCCUAUGUACCCUGGAGGGCGAAAAUGCAAGUAAAAGACUUCAGCCCCUUGUAACUGGGUCAGUCUCUCUCUGGAAAGUAAACUUCUCUGGGUGCCCGCAGCCUCCGCGCUGCUGUCUCCCGGGGACCCUGGGAGCCUCUGGACGCCGAAUCCCCAUGAUGGGAUGAGCCAAGAGCCGCUCCCAAGAGUGAGAGCUGCCAACCCCAAGAACGAAAACGACAAUGACGUGGUGGGAGUGGAGGCCGCAGCUGCUACACAUCACGCUGUGACCUUGGUAUGCUACAUACGACCUCCAGAGUGGUGGUCGAGAACAGACCUAAGGACUGGACCUAAGGAGAGAACGGGACCCUACGCACCCCACCCCCCACCCCCACCCCAGCCCUCUUGUCCUCCUCUUUUCCUCUCACUCUCUUCUCACUCCGGAACCACUCUUCCACCCGAGGUGGCCUCUCUAACUUUCUUGCUUCACAUCGCCCACGCCCUCAUGCGACGUGGUGCUAGGUGGGAAGCACGUUCCGGUUUCAAUAGGGCACCCUCUAGAUUUUCCAGGGAAAUUUGGUUCAACCGCGGUAGGGAGGCUUUAAAGAAUACACACUUUUGAAAUACACACUCUCCAAUGUGGGGACUCCUCGGUAUUAAAACUCAGAAAGACUAAGUGGGAAUCUGUUAUUUUAAUAUUUGCUUAUUUAUUUUUUAUUUGUGUGUAAGAAGAUGUCGGGUUCCCUGGUGAUGAAGUUACAGGCAGCUGUCAGCCACCUCAUGUGGAUGCUGGGAACUGAACGCUGGUCCUCAGCAAGAGCGGCAAACAUGCUCAGUGGCCAGCCAUCUCUUCAGCUCCCUUAGUGACAUUUUUGAUCCCCCAGGAACUCUUUCAUGGAACACCUCCUGGGUGUUCUUAGGUGCCAGGCCCAGGUCUCUCCCCAAUGCAGAGACCAUGCAUCUUCUCCCCUCAGUCUCCCCGUUCCUUCAAUCACAGCAUCAGCUCGAAGUAGGUGGCUUAUACAGCACCAUAUCAGAAGUCCGUAAUCUCGUUAGAACCAUUCAUAUCGGCAAAGUAAGGUGGUUUAUACAGCACCAUAUCAGAAGUCCAGAGUCUCAUCAGAACCAUCCAUAUCGGGCGUGGAUGAGGUUUUCUGAGUGUAUGUUACGGUUCUGUCCUGGAGAGGGGCAACUUUCUUGCCCGCAGCUUCCUUUCUCUCUUUCCUUCUUUUUUUUCCCCCCUUGUGAAGUCCAGUCUGACGCCAGAGUCAUUGUGCA